rnacentral:tRNA from 1 species
GCCUGCGUAACUCAGCGGUAGAGUGCCAGUCUUGUAAACUGGGAGUCGGGAGUUCGAAUCUCUCCGCAGGCU